rnacentral:tRNA from 1 species
GGCGCCCCCAGCGGGCGGCCCGUACGCGUUGCCCUGCUGCGGUGGCUGCCCGCCCGUGCCCUCCGGAGGCAGCGGGGCUCCGCCCGCGGGAGCGCCG